rnacentral:tRNA from 1 species
GCAGGAAUGGCGAAAUGGUAAACGCGUCAGAUUUAGAAUCUGAAUUUUGAGAAUUUGAAAUGCUUUGCAUUCGUGAACACCUUUAAAAAUCUAUUUAAAAAAGGUGAACAAUCUCUCUUUCCGUA